CACCCGGUAGCACAUGGUGUGCAUCUGUUAAAAUUCCAAAAUGGGUUGAGAAAAAUUUAGCAGAAGGGUCCUCGUUCGAUUCGGGGUCGGGUGA